CGCAAGCCUGACGGAGCAAGACCGCGUGGGGGAGGAAUGCCUUAGGGUUGUAAACCCCUUUUAUCUGGGAAGAACAAAAUGACGGUACCAGAUGAAUAAGCCUCGGCUAACUCCGUGCCAGCAGCCGCGGUAAUACGGAGGAUGCGAGCGUUAUCCGGAAUCAUUGGGCGUAAAGAGUCUGUAGGUGGCACUUCAAGUCUGCUGUCAAAGACCGAAGCUUAACUUCGGGCAGGCGGUGGAAACUGAAGAGCUGGAGUAAAGCAGGGGUAGAGGGAAUUCCCAGUGUAGCGGUGAAAUGCGUAGAGAUUGGGAAGAACACCAGUGGCGAAGGCGCUCUACUGGGCUAAAACUGACACUGAGAGACGAAAGCUAGGGUAGCG
rnacentral:rRNA from 1 species